rfam:Hordeum vulgare subsp. vulgare, WGS project CAJW01000000 data, contig: morex_contig_38374
UAAAUACUCCUUCCGUCCGGAAAUACUUGUCAAAGGAAUGGAUGUAUCUAGAUGUAUUUCAGUUCUACAUACAUCUGUUUCUAUACAUUCGUGUGACAAGUAAUUCCGGACGGAGUGAGUACUUG